AAGAGGUCACACCCGUUCCCAUACCGAACACGGAAGUUAAGCUCUUCAGCGCCGAUGGUAGUCGGGGGUUUCCCCCUGUGAGAGUAGGACGCCGCCAAGC
rnacentral:rRNA from 3 species